rnacentral:rRNA from 1 species
GUAGUCAUAUGCUUGUCUCAAAGAUUAAGCCAUGCAUGUCUCAGUACAAGCCAUAUUAAGGUGAAACCGCGAAAGGCUCAUUAAAUCAGUUAUGGUUCCUUAGAUCGUACACACAUUUACUUGGAUAACUGUGGUAAUUCUAGAGCUAAUACAUGCAAACAGAGCUCCGACCGGAGACGGAAGGAGUGCUUUUAUUAGAUCAAGACCAAUCGGCGGCAAUAUGGUUACGGCUUUGUUGUUCGUCGCACUUUUUGGUGACUCUGAAUAACUUUUGGCUGAUCGCACGGUCUAGCACCGGCGACGCAUCUUUCAAAUGUCUGCCUUAUCAACUGUCGAUGGUAGGUUCUGCGCCUACCAUGGUUGUAACGGGUAACGGGGAAUUAGGGUUCGAUUCCGGAGAGGGAGCCUGAGAAACGGCUACCACAUCCAAGGAAGGCAGCAGGCGCGCAAAUUACCCACUCCCGGCACGGGGAGGUAGUGACGAAAAAUAACGAUACGGGACUCAUCCGAGGCCCCGUAAUCGGAAUGAGUACACUUUAAAUCCUUUAACAAGGACCAAUUGGAGGGUAAGUCUGGUGCCAGCAGCCGCGGUAAUUCCAGCUCCAAUAGCGUAUA